UCCUGAUGCGCCGCCCGCACCGGCCGCUGCUCGCCGGCCUAGCUCCACCCUGGUCUCCUCCCUCGAAUUCCCGCGCCACGAUACUGCUCUGAUCCCGUGCGCUCCCCCACGCCUAACCCUGCUGAUUCCAUCCACCUCGCCCAAUUUUCUAAUUCGAUUCGCGCCUGCGUUUGGAGGGAUUCGACAGGGUGCUUUGCUGGGAAGUGCGGCUACACCUCACCGGUGCCGGAGCCGGCUUCAUCCCGUCCGUGGCGGGGUGCGUCCUCGUCCCUGGCAGCCGGGUGUGUCCUGUCCGGUGACGGCUACAUCCUCAGGGCGUCGGCUACAUCCCGACGGCAUCGCCAAUAUCCUCGCGGCGCCGGUGACAUCCCCGCGGCCUCGAUUACAUCCCCAUCAUCGCAGAUGAAGGCUUCUCGUCGUCGCGGCCGGGUAGGCUGAGAAGCCAUUUCGUUCCUCGCACGGGGCUCCCCCGCAUUCCACCAAAUCGCGGCAGAUUUGUCCGUCGAUCCGCGCAGCUUGGUGGUGGGAUCGUCCGGCGCCACUCUUCCUUCUCUCCGUCGGCAUCCUAGUCGCUGGCUACAUUCUCGUUCGCCGGCUACUUGUCCACACCGCCAGCUGGUUUCCAGCGCUGCCGGCUACUUCCCACGCCAUCGGCUACAUCCCAGCGCCGCUGGCUGCUUCCCCCACUGCCAGCUUCUUCCACGUUGCCGGCUACUUCGGUGCGUCGCUGUCUACAUCCAGCGCUAGCGGCGACAUGCCCGCGCUACCGGUUGCUUCCCCACCCGCAUCCGCUACAUCCUAGACCAGGUAAUUGUUUUGUGCUAGCUUCUUUUGAUUCAGUGGUGGUUCAAAGUUAAAGGUGUAGGAUUUUGCGACCUGAUAUUGUAGAUGUUGAUUUUUUCGGUUUUUGAUUCAGGAUAGUGGAGAUUCGUAUCAUAUAGGUUCGAUGUAACUAGAAUUUGGAUACAUGAGGGGAGGCAGAUGUAUGCAUGUGGGUGUAGCCCACAAGCUUAUUUUAUUUUUCAUAUAGGUGUUUAGCCUCAUAUGAUUGCAAAGUCAUAUGUAGGUUUAACUCGCUGAUCUAGUACAUGUAGCUUUGUCAGGUUGUGACAUCCUUUAAAUUUGAGGUAGAUAUUGUCAAAGCUGUCUAAUAAUGUUCUUAACUCAAAUAUAUUAUCAAUGUGAAUUCUAUGAAAUACAGUGCAGUAGUAACUGUACAUGUUUACACUUCAAUUCCUUCAGCAUAUAAACGUUCUAUGCAGGUAAAUGAUAUACACAAUUUAUUUGUUAGUUUUGCUUUGGUUUAUCUUUCUGAUCUAAUCAUCUGAAUAUUUUAUAUUCGAGCAAUCGUCAUUGUGCAGACUAGACUAUUGAUGUGUAUUAGUUAAUGCAGCUUCUUUAUCAAGUUGGGGCAAGAAAAUCAUAUGUUGCUGAUAUACAAGUAAAACAGCCAGUACCUACUGCUCUUUUUGUCAUGCUCACUAAAUAAUUACCACAUUGUUCCUGUCCGAGUAGUCCAGCUAGUACACGUACAUGUAUAGAUCUAGGAGUUCGUAACCGAGUAGUUCUGGUUUGAGUCGGUUAGCUAUCCUGGCACAUAUAUAUGCGUGUCAUACUGGCUUGUAAACCAUCGUGAAACGUGAAAGCAAUACAGAAAACAACGGGCUCGAUACCAGUCCGUGGCAAAUCGUUUCUUGUGUUGCUGUGUUGUGUUACGUGAAGUACUAGUAGCUAGCUGAUCACAAGGAUCGAUCAAGCAAGAUCUUGGCUUCGCAGUGGAAGCACUCCGCGUAUUCUGGCUGGGCCAACACCCAUAUUUGUAGAUAAUCUGCAUUUUUUUUGUUCUCCAAAUUUUCCACAUGAUUGACAAAAUCCCUGAUCAGUCUACCCUACAAAUAUCAUCAGAGAGGCACUAUUAUUGAUUUCUUGCAUUAUUUUCGUGCUCCCAGCUAUGUAUUUUCGCUGCAGGUCCUUGGUCCUCAAUCCGUUGUACAAAACAUAAUUUAUCAGAAUUCAUGGACACUCUAACUAUUAAGUUUUUCUUGUUACAUUCGCGGUUCUUAUGUUCAGUUCCCAGUAGUAUAUUUUGCAGCUUAUUAGUUACUCAAAAGGCACGCUUUUGCUGCCUUUUUAUACUAAAUUUUCAAAACCAUGAGCAAAGCAAUUUUCCAGUGCUCCAGUCAAAGCAUCCUACGUUUGUUAAUGUUUCAUUUAUCAUGGCUAUUAGGAAUUCACAUCUUUUUUUUUUGCGAGAAGAAUUCACAUCUAAUUAAUUGACAUACGUACAUCUGUAUCUAGAUAAAUUGUUUGGACGCAUGGUGAAUCCUCUUUUUCUUUUGCCACCCAGCUCUGUUGGUGCAUCGUCCAAUGAGUCCUACUGUGUGUUUCUAUGUCUCCGCUUGAUAACAUCCUCGGCUUAAUUUUUCCAUCCAAAACUGAUGUAAUCUAAUAAAGGUAUGAUCUCUUAUAGAAAAGGUACCUCAUAGAAGGGUAUGAAGUGAUUAUUCAGUUAUGCGUAGAUAAAUUGUUUGGACGCAUGGUGAAUCCUCUUUUUCUUUUGCCACCCAGCUCUGUUGGUGCAUCGUCCAAUGAGUCCUACUGUGUGUUUCUAUGUCUCCGCUUGAUAACAUCCUCGGCUUAAUUUUUCCAUCCAAAACUGAUGUAAUCUAAUAAAGGUAUGAUCUCUUAUAGAAAAGGUACCUCAUAGAAGGGUAUGAAGUGAUUAUUCAGUUAUGCGUGUCUUUGGAGGGGAAGAACUAGAUCUUAUGGUGUUGCUGGUAGCGAACAUCGAUAAAUAUCGUCUUAAUAUUUCAUGAGUGUCCCCGUGGAGAUGGUUCAUCUAAUCAACGAUCUACGGCAUCUCUGUCUGCAUGAGUUUUAUCUAGGACUGUUCCUCAAGGCCAUCUAAAUGCAGAUGAUACAGAACUUGGGUCUUAAAGAGAAGAGCAGACAAAGAAUGUUGUACAAAAUAGAAGAUUGCGUACAUCAAUGACAGCGGUUGUGGCUUGCAUGUGCUAACUUUUAUCUGGUACUUGCCUAGCACCAUAUCGCCCUCAAACCUUUGUUCUGGUGUCUAAUUAAGAUCAAUUCCUCCAAACCUGCACUCAAAAACCUUCAGCAUCCCAGGUUAUUGUUCUGCAAGUAGACAAAGAGAAGUUACUUCUAUGCUAGAAUAAGAAAAUUUGCAAGGUAAUAUAAUAAAUGUUGCAAAAUUAGACAAGGGAAGGCUACUUUUCUACUACGACAUCCCAUCACUAUAUGCAACCUGUCUACUGAAUAAUUUCUCUAAUCUUGUUGUUUACUAUCUGCAGGUAUGUGUGUCUUCAGUGAACAAGUUCUAGGGUACGAAAACCCGAAAAAUGUUACAUGGUCAUAAGGAACUUUGACAGCUGGAAGAUGCUACAUGGAGGAGGGGUAUCUAUAUAUUGAACUUUUUCCCUGCGGUGCAACAUAUUAUGUGAUUCGAGAGCCAGCUAAAGGAACAAUUAAAUGGAACCUUCCUAGAUGGAAGCUUAAACUUUUUUGUGAUGGAACUUUGUCUGAUUCCCUAUUACAUAAUAUGCUCUCUGUGAGUUACAUUUGGUUUUCAGUUAUUAUGUACCCAAGCAAUACAUGAAGUUCCUAUUGCUUUU